rnacentral:rRNA from 1 species
GACGAACGCUGGCGGCGUGCUUAACACAUGCAAGUCGAACGGUGAAGCGCCUUCCUUUUUGGUGGGUGUGGAUGAGUGGCGAACGGGUGAGUAACACGUGAGUAACCUGCCCCCUUCUUCUGGAUAACCGCAUGAAAGUGUGGCUAAUACGGGAUAUUCUGGGUCUGUCGCAUGAUGGGUCUGGGAAAGAUAUUGUUUCGGUGGGGGAUGGGCUCGCGGCCUAUCAGCUUGUUGGUGGGGUGAUGGCCUACCAAGGCGGUGACGGGUAGCCGGCCUGAGAGGGUGGACGGUCACACUGGGACUGAGACACGGCCCAGACUCCUACGGGAGGCAGCAGUGGGGAAUAUUGCACAAUGGGCGCAAGCCUGAUGCAGCGACGCCGCGUGAGGGAUGGAGGCCUUCGGGUUGUGAACCUCUUUCGCCAGUGAAGCAGGCCUGCCUCGUUUGUGGGUGGGUUGACGGUAGCUGGAUAAGAAGCACCGGCUAACUACGUG